GUAUCUGUUCAAAGCAGUAAAACCCUGUAAGUAAGACAUACAGUGAGUUAAUGUACAAAAUUGUGAGUAGUUUUACGUGCACACACAUAUUACUAAAAUAUUGACAAAACCAAAAACACAACACAAAAAGACACAGAAUAAAAACAUGAACUAACCAAUAACACAAAAUGAACAGAAGGUGACUAAGCCUUGCUAGUCCAUACUGGAAAAUGUUUCAGUCCGUACUCGGGUUAUAGCUGCUGAGGGUUGUGUCCUUCCUUGCCAACACUGCCCCUGCAUGAAGUUCAGCUGGAGAAACGAGACAGCAGAUUCUUAGUCACACCUGUGUGGGGUGGCUGUGGUGACCUGGCCUUGCUUAGGUGACAGCAGGACUAUGGGCUUGGGUAAAGCUUUGGUGAGGGCAAUGAGCUCUGGGGUUUUGGGGAGUAGAGGAGACCUUGGUGGCACAGGCUGACCUCCGGGGUGACUGACAAGCGCCAAAGCCUUGGGGAAUGUGCAUGGACUGCUAGAGUGAUGCCGGCAAAGCCGUGGGAUGCUCAUGCCAACUUUAAGAUGAUGGGUACAGCCACUACCUUGGGCUAAAUAUAGCUGCACUCUUCCCACUGUAGAAAGAUUUUCAGAAUGUAGCACAGAUUCUGCCACGUGUUUAUUAUGAUUGGGUUCUACCAGUCCUGAAAUUUCCCUCUUCUUUAUAAAGAUGACCCACUCAUUGUUCAAAGGUGUGUUGUUCUAUUUUCAUGAAAAAUACUCUAAUUUUUCUACUAUUCUAGGUUUUUUGUUUUCUUAAGAUUUGCAAGGACUUGCUUUGUAAAACUGCUGAAAAUAAUGUGCACUCUGCAGGUGGAAUAUUAUGUGGAUGUCUGUUCCAUUCAUUUGAAGUUUACUUGUUUAUGUGUCUGGUUGACUGUUGGUGAGAACAAGAUGUUGAAGUCGCCUACCAGUAUUUCUAUAUGGAGGAUGAAAUGUCUGUUAUUGGCACAUGCCAUUGGAACCAUGUAAAGGAAGAUGGAAGACCACAGAAGCCUGAAAAGUAGAUUUAAAGUAGAAGGAUGGUUCUGUCAGGAGAAAGGUUCCUUCGUGCCUUCUGCUAAAGCACAAUUCUUCACUCGUGAAUGUAUGCCACAUGAACGCAGGUGUCCUGGAGGACUGAGGACGGUGCAUCAUCUCCUGGAGUUACAGAUAAAGUGACGACUGCAUGAAGACCAGGAAAUGAGCUUAACAUGUAGUAGUUUAAAGCAUAUGUAGAUUUUAUUAACAUACAGUGCAUAUCAGGUAGAACCAGAAUCUUACAACUCUCUAGUCUCUACUUACUGUCACGUAAAUACAUUUGAAAUGCAUUUGGAUGUGUUUUAGCCAACAGAAAAAUAAUUUUCCCCAUUUUAACAUGAUACAACAAGUAUAUAUUUUCACAUUUUUGUUAACUAUACUUAAAACACUUCUAAACAAUAGUUCUGGUUGAGUUAGAAAAGAACCCCCCAGCCCCCAAAACAAACUUCCCUUCAGCAGUACUUGUCUUCCGGUCUUUCACCUUGGUUAAAAAACAAACCAAGUGAUUAUGGCUCAGGUGGUGGUGUCAUCGGCGUUUAAAGGAACAUGGUCACAUUAUUACUACAUAGAAUUCAUAUGAAAUGUAGAUAUGCACCAAGAAGUUACACACACAGUAUACUGACAUUAGAAUUCACUCACCAUCUGCCCAACUCCCUAGUUCUAGAAGGCGAGAUUUCUAACGUGGGCUGUGUCUCAUUAGGCACGUGCUCGCGUACUAACAUACUGCUUCCUAUGCUCCUGAACCAGCAGGAACAUAGACAUUGAAAGGCAAACUUUUAUGGAGUUGAGGAGUUAUUGACUUGUUGAGGGUUUUUCUUCUGAGUUUCUGACAGAAGUUUGCACAGCCCAUCUCAUUUUGAGGCAGGAGUUGAAAGUGCUGUGGGGCCGAACUCGCAGCUAGGACACAUCCUGGCAUCACGUAGACCUUCUUAAUGAGAUCAGCCCUGAUGCCUGGGACAGAAAGGAACACAUGCCAGCAUUAUGAAAUACGCGCUAUCAGAACAGUUAGGGGAU